AUUGAACGCUGGCGGCAUGCCUUACACAUGCAAGUCGAACGGCAGCACGGGAGCAGUCCUGGUGGCGAGUGGCGAACGGGUGAGUAAAGUAUCGGAACGUGCCCAGUCGUGGGGGAUAACGUAGCGAAAAUUACGCUAAUACCGCAUACGAUCUAUGGAUGAAAGCGGGGGAUCGCAAGACCUCGCGCGAUUGGAGCGGCCGAUAUCAGAUUAGGUAGUUGGUGGGGUAAAGGCUCACCAAGCCGACGAUCUGUAGCUGGUCUGAGAGGACGACCAGCCACACUGGGACUGAGACACGGCCCAGACUCCUACGGGAGGCAGCAGUGGGGAAUUUUGGACAAUGGGCGAAAGCCUGAUCCAGCCAUGCCGCGUGCAGGAUGAAGGCCUUCGGGUUGUAAACUGCUUUUGUACGGAACGAAAAGGUUUGGCCUAAUAAGCUGAGCUCAUGACGGUACCGUAAGAAUAAGCACCGGCUAACUACGUGCCAGCCGCCGCCGUAA
rnacentral:rRNA from 1 species